ACUCAAAUGAAUUGACGGGGGCCCGCACAAGCGGUGGAGCAUGUGGUUUAAUUCGACGCAACGCGAAGAACCUUACCGGGGCUUGACAUCCUCUGACCAUCUAGGAGACUAGGUUUCCGGGCAACCGGACAGAGAGACAGGUGCUGCAUGGCUGUCGUCAGCUCGUGCCGUGAGGUGUUGGGUUAAGUCCCGCAACGAGCGCAACCCUUGUCGUGUGUUGGUCGCAAGAUCUCUCACACGAGACCGCCGGUGACAAGCCGGAGGAAGGUGGGGAUGACGUCAAGUCAGCAUGGCCCUUACGUCCCGGGCUACACACGUGCUACAAUGCGCGCGACAGCGAGUCGCGAACCCGCGAGGGCAAGCUAAUCUCUUAAACGCGCGCUCAGUUCGGAUUGGAGGCUGCAACUCGCCUCCAUGAAGUCGGAAUCGCUAGUAACCGCAGAUCAGCUACGCUGCGGUGAAUACGUUCCCGGGCCUUGUACACACCGCCCGU
rnacentral:rRNA from 1 species